AUUGAACGCUGGCGGCAGGCCUAACACAUGCAAGUCGAGCGGAUGACGGGAGCUUGCUCCUUGAUUCAGCGGCGGACGGGUGAGUAAUGCCUAGGAAUCUGCCUGGUAGUGGGGGACAACGUUUCGAAAGGAACGCUAAUACCGCAUACGUCCUACGGGAGAAAGCAGGGGACCUUCGGGCCUUGCGCUAUCAGAUGAGCCUAGGUCGGAUUAGCUAGUUGGUGAGGUAAUGGCUCACCAAGGCGACGAUCCGUAACUGGUCUGAGAGGAUGAUCAGUCACACUGGAACUGAGACACGGUCCAGACUCCUACGGGAGGCAGCAGUGGGGAAUAUUGGACAAUGGGCGAAAGCCUGAUCCAGCCAUGCCGCGUGUGUGAAGAAGGUCUUCGGAUUGUAAAGCACUUUAAGUUGGGAGGAAGGGCAGUAAGUUAAUACCUUGCUGUUUUGACGUUACCGACAGAAUAAGCACCGGCUAACUCUGUGCCAGCCGCCGCGGUAA
rnacentral:rRNA from 1 species